CUUGGUCAUUUAGAGGAAGUAAAAGUCGUAACAAGGUCUCCGUUGGUGAACCAGCGGAGGGAUCAUUACCGAGUACUAUAACUCAUAACCCUUUGUGAACCUUUAUACCUGUUGCUUCGGCGGCGCGCCUCCCGGGGCGUGCCCGCCGGCAUUAUCAGAAUCUCUGUUCGAACCCGACGAUACAUCUGAGUGUUCUAAGCGAACUGUUAAAACUUUCAACAACGGAUCUCUUGGCUCCAGCAUCGAUGAAGAACGCAGCGAAACGCGAUAUGUAAUGUGAAUUGCAGAAUUCAGUGAAUCAUCGAAUCUUUGAACGCACAUUGCGCCCGCCAGUAUUCUGGCGGGCAUGCCUGUUCGAGCGUCAUUUCAACCCUCAAGCCCAGCUUGGUGUUGGGACUCGCGAGUCAAAUCGCGUUCCCCAAAUUGAUUGGCGGUCACGUCGAGCUUCCAUAGCGUAGUAGUAAAACCCUCGUUACUGGUAAUCGUCGCGGCCACGCCGUUAAACCCCAACUUCUGAAUGUUGACCUCGGAUCAGGUAGGAAUACCCGCUGAACUUAAGCAUAUCAAUAAGCGGAGGAAAAGAAACCAACAGGGAUUGCCCUAGUAACGGCGAGUGGAGCGGCAAUAGCUCAAAUUUGAAAUCUGGCUCUCGGGCCCGAGUUGUAAUUUGUAGAGGAUACUUUUGAUGCGGUGCCUUCCGAGUUCCCUGGAACGGGACGCCAUAGAGGGUGAGAGCCCCGUCUGGUUGGAUGCCAAAUCUCUGUAAAGUUCCUUCGACGAGUCGAGUUGUUUGGGAAU
rnacentral:sRNA from 1 species